UACGGAGGGUGCGAGCGUUGUCCGGAAUCACUGGGCGUAAAGGGCGCGUAGGCGGCAGGCCAAGCGUGCGGUGAAAGUCCGGGGCUCAACCCCGGAUCUGCCGUGCGGACUGGUUUGCUGGAGCACUGUAGAGGCGAGUGGAAUUCCCGGUGUAGCAGUGAAAUGCGUAGAGAUCGGGAGGAACACCAGUGGCGAAGGCGGCCUUCUGGACCAAUACUGACGCUCAUGCACGAAAGCGUGGGGAGCAAACAGG
rnacentral:rRNA from 1 species